GCGAAGGUGGCGGAAUUGGUAGACGCGCUAGCUUCAGGUGUUAGUGUUCUUACGGACGUGGGGGUUCAAGUCCCCCCCCUCGCANCA
rnacentral:tRNA from 1 species